AAUGAACGCUGGCGGCAGGCCUAACACAUACAAGUCGAACGGAUCCUUCGGGAUUAGUGGCGGACGGGUGAGUAACGCGUGGGAACAUACCCUUUGGUACGGAAUAGCCUCGGGAAACUGGGAGUAAUACCGUAUGUGGUCGAGAGACGAAAGAUUUAUCGCCAAAGGAUUGGCCCGCGUUGGAUUAGGUAGUUGGUGGGGUAAUGGCCUACCAAGCCGACGAUCCAUAGCUGGUUUGAGAGGGUGAUCAGCCACACUGGGACUGAGACACGGCCCAGACUCCUACGGGAGGCAGCAGUGGGGAAUCUUAGACAAUGGGGGAAACCCUGAUCUAGCCAUGCCGCGUGAUCGAUGAAGGCCUUAGGGUUGUAAAGAUCUUUCAGGUGGGAAGAUAAUGACUGUACCACCAGAAGAAGCCCCGGCUAACUCCGUGCCAGCAGCCGCAGUAACAC
rnacentral:rRNA from 1 species